rnacentral:rRNA from 1 species
UACGGAGGGUGCAAGCGUUAAUCGGAAUUACUGGGCGUAAAGCGUGCGCAGGCGGUUUGUUAAGUCCGCUGUGAAAUCCCCGAGCUCAACUUGGGAAUUGCAGUGGAUACUGGCAAGCUGGAGUAUGGUAGAGGAAGGUGGAAUUCCCGGUGUAGCAGUGAAAUGCGUAGAGAUCGGGAGGAACACCAGUGGCGAAGGCGGCCUUCUGGACCAAUACUGACGCUCAUGCACGAAAGCGUGGGGAGCAAACAGG